rnacentral:rRNA from 1 species
UACGGAGGGUGCAAGCGUUAUCCGGAUUCACUGGGUUUAAAGGGUGCGUAGGAGGGCGGAUAAGUCAGUGGUGAAAUCUUCGAGCUUAACUCGGAAACUGCCGUUGAUACUAUUUGUCUUGAAUAUUGUGGAGGUAAGCGGAAUAUGUCAUGUAGCGGUGAAAUGCUAGAUAUGACAUAGAACACCAAUUGCGAAGGCAGCUUACUACACAAUGAUUGACGCUGAGGCACGAAAGCGUGUGGAUCAAACAGG